rnacentral:tRNA from 1 species
AGGGGCUUAGGAUAAUUGAGACCAAGGGCCUUCAAAGCCCUAAGUAAAAGUGAGAACCUUUUAGCCCCUG